rnacentral:rRNA from 1 species
GACGUAGGGCGCGAGCGUUGUCCGGAUUUAUUGGGCGUAAAGAGCUCGUAGGCGGCUUGUCGCGUCGAAUGUGAAAUCUCAGGGCUCAACUCUGACAUUGCAUUCGAUACGGGCAGGCUAGAGUUCGGUAGGGGAGACUGGAAUUCCUGGUGUAGCGGUGAAAUGCGCAGAUAUCUGCAGGAACACCCGUGGCGAAAGCGGCGCGCUGGACCACUACUGACGCUGAGGAACGAAAGCUAGGGGAGCAAACAGG